ensembl:lncRNA
AUUUUUCUCAAUGACUCAAUGCAGGAAGCAGAUAAAUAACUUGGUCCAAACGACACACUUGUUUCUUAUUGAGCUGAUUAUGUUGCACAGCUAUAAACAAAGAGAGAUUUCAGGACAACAAUGCACACGUAUCUUUCUUUGGGAAAAGCAGUCACCAUUGUGGGCUUCUUCUAAUAGUUGCUAUGGGUGUUGGUUGCAUUCUGAGAGUGUCUUGGGUCUGCUUGUUGCUCUGUGGUGGCAGUCUUGCUGCAUCAAUGAAGGGGUACAACAAUCCCUAUACCGAUGCCAGCCGUGGACUUGGGGGUUUUCAAGAGGAGCAGCUGGUGUUUUCUCCAUCAAAAGUAUUGAGUUCCUAUGGCCAAGCAACAGGCUACGCAGACAGAAGCUACAGAUCCCCGGUAGCACUACAGAUUAACUGGGACUUGUUCAUGCCUCAUGAGCCACUCACGUUCCCUUUAAACCCCACAUACAAGACUGUUAGAGGGUCUAACGAUCCGCAUGGCGGAGUAUUCAUUGAGCCUUCUACCCAAUCUUCAAAGCCAGGGAGCUUUGGUUUUCCCAGUUCUGUACCCUCCUUCGACCCUGUCCCCCAUCAUCAGUUCACUGACUCUGAGGUCACGCCCAUCAAUUCGACACUUGAUGCUGACCCAGUAUCUAGCAUAGGUGGAUACGGCCUGCCUCAGCACCUCAGCCUCCAGUUUGACAGAGCAGGUGAUGCCCAAGGCUAUUCCCCUAACUUUGAGGCCAAGCACCCUUCUUCUGAAAAUGCACAGCUUCCUUCCAAAGAGGUUGGCCCCUCCAACUACAACUCAGACAGUGCUGUCCAGCCAAGCAGUUGGCUGUCUCGACCCUUCGAGAGCAAAGAGGUGCCGGUAUUCUCCAGUGAUUCAGCUCACCGGGUCCAGGCUGCUCCGAUUGAAACCCCUGCCUUUCCCAGCUAUGGGACCCAUUUUGUCUUGGACUCCAUGCCAAGUAAAGGGGCUGCACAACCAGGCCGCUUCCGUAUGGUUACGCCACAGCUGCCCAGCACCCAUCAGCUUGCGAUGCCAAAGGAGGUGAGCAUGCCGUUCCCAUACACCUACAUUGUUCAAUCCAGAGGUCGCCACGGACGAGGAAGGAAUCUGAACCGCAAUACCAGAUACUACAAGAAGGGCCCUCCACCUGCCUCGUUUGGCCUAAAGAGACAAAGAAGAUGGAAACUCUGAUCCAACGAUCAUGUAUUAUCAUUGCCUGUUGAUGCACUAAAGCUAAUAUUAUAUUCAGCAUGAGUUUUUAUGAUUUAGUUUCAUUAAAGUGACUUCAUGUUUUAUUCUUUGCUUGGUAUUUCUUUUUCAGAGGGUACUUACUGAACUGACUCCUGAGAAUGUAUUUUUUGUUUGAAUGUCAAGCAAUUCAAUGUUGCAGAGUAAGAAGUGCAUACUUUGUGACAUGAACUGGUAUUAUGGUUUGUAAGGUCAUUCAUGAAGUAGAUAAACACUACCGCACUUCUUGAUUUGUUAGGGUAGAAGUUGUCUGUUAAAUCUAGAGUGAAUAUCUUACCAACUACUUGGUGCAUGAGGCCUUUUGAAGUCAUUGUAAAUGCUGGCUUAUUCUUUCAAACUGUCAAUUGUUGACUAAAUAGUUGGUCAACUUAAUUUAUGCUUUAUAAACCACCUUAAUUUAUUUUUCUUGGUAAUGAAUAUGUAGGAAAAAUGCUUUUAUGAAUGAUUCAUUCACUUAACUUUCAAAUGCUUAAGUUGUUUGUAUUGUGCUUGCCAAAAUGUUCUGAUUAAUUGACCACAGUGGGCUGAGGCGUCACGGUCACCACAUUGCUGUGGUAAAUGUCUGGAUCUGGAUGAUUCAUCUGCUGUCUCGGGAAACCCUAUUUGCUUUAGCUGGGGAGGGUCAAUGACUUGACCAGUUUCAAUGGAGUAUCUACUGCAAGUCUUCCCAAAGUGUGGAAUGUCUGAACUACUUUUACAUAACAAUUGACACCAAACUUCGUUUAGGUUAUUUUACAUUAAUUGGUUAUACAUAUUCCUUAUUUCAUAGGUUCAACAUUUCAGAGCAUAUGGUAUUUGAGGUAUAGGGGUUGACUUUCUAUACGAGAUACUUUCUGUUCUUCCCCUCCCUGGGAUAUUUUUAUAUUUGAUCGCAGGAUAGAAAAGCAAGCGCUGAUAAGAGCUUCCAUUCUUUGUAGAAGUCUAAUGUUUUAUAUCAAAACAAUUACAUUUUAGGAAUGGGAGUACUACAGUGGUGGGAAGAAUAACGCAAACGGUACUAAGGUUAAAGUAUUUUUCUUGAUAAAUACUUACCAGUAUGUACUUAAUAUACUUGUAAAGUAUCUUGUAAAAAUACUAACUUCAUUAUAUGCAAUUUAUUAAAUUGUAACCUACAUUGAAACAGGUCCUAAAAGGUAAAGAAAACUCAAGUCAUUAAGUGCUGUAUCCAGAAACAAUACAAUGCUUACCUACAUUACACUAGAUCAACACUUCAAAGCAAAUACCAAAGAAACGUUUAAAAUCGUUUAGCACCUCAAGUCAACUGCACCUUGCCUUUAAGGCCAAAUGGUCACCGUUGCCCUAACCAUCAUUGCAAGUCUUUUUUGUAACUAAAGAUUCAAAAGGUCAUUUCCAAAAAGGUAAUCGCAAUAAUCAGCUGCAUUCACCCGCCGACUUAUCAGGGUGCUAGACAAGUUAAACCUUUAGCUUUUCAGUUCAGACAUUACUUUCAGGUCAUACAUGUAAACAAAAAGCAGUAUAGGCCCAAUAGUGCCUCGAUGGUUGUUCCAUUGUGUUUAAUAGAAGUACAAGGCCAAACAUAGUUAGCAUUUCAUUAUUAACCCAUCAUAAUUGAAUGCUAGAGGAGCUCUUUUGCUGUCAUGAUCCAUCUUCAUGAUUUUUAUAAAGAACAGGUUAAAGGCUUUUAAAAAUAAAGAUAAGGCAUGUAUUUUGCUGUAAUGCCGCUUUGUAGAAUCAAGUCAAAUUGAAGUACUGAAUAAAAACAUAAGUCAAGUUUAAAUGGUUACAUUUUGUUUAUUCUUUUCAGGGAACAAGCUUUUAUGCUGAAAGUGCGAAGCAUUACUGAAGGUAUAGUCAGUGUAGAAAUCCAUAAGCAAGUUGGAAAAAUACACAAUUGAUUGAAGGCCAAGUGGUCACCAUUUACCCCUUACGGUCUCAGAGCCAUAAGCACGGAUGGGGGUGGUGGAGGGAAACCGCUGAAGUACUUCUUCUUGGAUAACAUCUGGCGGCUUCGGCGGUGUGAGCCCUUGGAUUGGACAAUGUAGGUAGAUGCAGUCUGGUCCCUCACCUUCUUUGGCCUCUGAAGCCACUUGGAGCUGGGGAGCUGAGGAGCCUUCUUCAGUGGCUUGAAGAGGACUGGUUGUGCAGCGGCUUUACUUGAAGUCGAGUCCAAGCCGUAGUCAGUCACAUAGCUUGGAUAGGCAGGGGUUUCCACAGGAGCAACAUGGGCCCAGUGACCUGUAUGACUGGAGAAUGCCGGCUCCUCUUCUCUGGAGAAGUAGGAAGCCGAGGACCAAGUGCUUGGCUGGACUGCGUUCAUAGAGUCAUACUUGGAGGCGUCAACCCCCUCUGAAUGAAGCUGUUCAGCUUCAGCAGCAGGGUAUUGAUAAACAGCCUCAUCGACAAGGUUAGUGGAAUAGCUUUGUGAACCCUCUUGUACACCAGCUGGGAGGUCAAGGUUCAGUGAAGAGCUAGAGUAACCCCCUUUAGUGUCAGUACUAGGUACUGCUUCAGCCUCCAGAAUUUGUGCGCUAAUGUUCGGAGCGCCCUGGGCCCAGUCACCUGCAUUACUGGAGAAUACCGGCCCUUCUGUGGUAAUGUAACGAUCAGAGGACCAACUGCUUGGCUGUUCCGCAAUCACAGAGUCAUAGGUGUAGGGGUCAUCAUCUGAUGAAGGAAGCUGUGCAGUUUCAGCAGCUGGGUAUUGAGAAAAGUCCUCAUAGACAAGGUUAGUGCAAUAGCUUUGUGAACCUUCUUGUACACCAGCUGGGAGGUCAAGGUGCAGUGAAGAGCUAGAGUAACCCCCUUUAGUGUCAAUUCUAGGUACUGCUUCAGCCUCCAGGAUCUGUGCGCUAAUGUUCGGAGCAGCGUGGGCCCAGUUACUUAAUACCGGCUCCUCUCUAGUCAUGUAAGGAGCAGAAGACCAAGUGCUUGGCUGGACCACAUUCACCGAGUUGUAGUCAGAGAGGUCACUCUCUUCUGAAGGAAGCUGUGCAGUUUCAGCAGCAGGGUAAUGAAAAGCAUCCUCAUAGACCAGGUUAGGGGAAUAGCUUGGUGAAACAGCCUGGACAUCGAGGUACAGCGCAGAGCUGGAGUAACCCCCUUUAGUGUCAGUUCUAGAUACUACGUCAGCCUGCAGAGUCUGUGCGCUAAUGGUCGGCGCCAUGUUACCUGAAUUAAUGGAGAAUACUGGCUCCCCUCCUCCGGUCAUGUAGGAAGCAGAGGACCGACUUCUUGGCUGGUCCGCAUAGAAGUGUGAGCCCUCUUGUUCACCAGCCUGGAAGUUGAGGUUCUGGGUAGGAUUAAAGUACCCGCCACUUUUAGACACUUGUUUAGACUCCAAAGUAGGACCACUACUGAAUGCACCAUCGUCCAUCAACAGAUAUGGAGUAGGAGGGAUAAGGUCAGAGCCUGCCAGUUCUGAAGAUGGUUUGGAAGAGGGCUCAUAAGCUGAUGGGAACAUAGGCUUUCUGCUUCCCCACUGCUCCUCAAAUGAGUCAAGCUGGUAGGGAGGUCUUAGAGGGAAUGUCACUGGCCCGACACGGUUCCAGUCUGCAAUCUUGGCAUUUUCCUGUCCAAGCUCCAUCGCUCCACCUCCCUGGAACCUCGCCCCUUUCUCUGGGUUCAAGGGUGCCUGCUUUAAAGCUGCAGCUAGUGGGAUUUUGUUGCUUCGGUCUGAAUAUCCUUUUACUAGGCUAUAUAAAUCCAACAUCCCAGUUGGAUAAUUUGCUAGCUUGAUAUCCUCAGCCAUAGCUUUAGGAUGGUCACUGGAGGUGUACUUGUACCCUAAGAGGAAAAAUACAAAAAUAUACUAAGUGAAAGUGAGAAUCGAACAAGUAAAAACUGUUAAAAUGUGGUAUCAGAUGUACCCUUCAUUGACGGGAAAGGAAGACUACCACCAAACAGCAAUAAACAAAUCCAAGACACUCUGCAAUACAAGAAAAAAAAAAGUAUUCAGUUACACAUAACAAGAGAAAAUAGAAUAGCCAAAAGCCAAAAUGCCAACUCUACCUGAGAAGGUACCCAACAGCCAUCAUAGUUGAAGCAGCACACUCCAUUCAAAGUAUUUUCCAGAAAGGUAGGUUGGUUGGUUCAGGCCAAACCAGACCAAAAAGACAGUUGCAGUGUUCCUCUGCUAUCUCUUUAUAUAGUGGCCCUGCAACCACUCAACACCCAAGCAUUAGCAGCUGUUAGCCUCUGCAACAUAAUCAUCCACAUCAGAAACAGGUGUGCUAUUUGCAAACCAUGUUCUUUAUCGGUCUUCCUCAUUGACAUACGUUGCAAAUCUCUCAAUGUUUCAACAUAACAAUUAUUUUGCCCCUUUUUG